UCCGGUUUGACACCGGCAGUCUCCCUAGAGUCCCCACCAUAACGUGUUGGUAACUAAGGAUAAGGGUUGCGCUCGUUACGGGACUUAACCCAACAUUUCACAACACGAGCUGACGACAGCCAUGCAGCACCUGUCUUUGCGCUCCUUUCGGCACGCUCAUAUCUCUACAAGCUUCGCAAGAUGUCAAGAGUAGGUAAGGUUCUUCGCGUAUCAUCGAAUUAAACCACAUGCUCCACCGCUUGUGCGGGCCCCCGUCAAUUCAUUUGAGUUUUAACCUUGCGGCCGUACUCCCCAGGCGGAGAACUUAUCGCGUUAGCUGCGCUACCGAGCAGUUAAUCCCGCCCAACAGCUAGUUCUCAUCGUUUACAGCAUGGACUAC
rnacentral:misc_RNA from 1 species